rnacentral:rRNA from 1 species
GUACCAUAACCGACACAGGUGGGUAAGUAGAGUAUACUAAGGGGCGCGAGAUAACUCUCUCUAAGGAACUCGGCAAAAUAACUCCGUAACUUCGGGAGAAGGAGUGCCUUAUUCUUAAGGUUGCAAUAACAAGAUCCAAGCAACUGUUUAUCAAAAACACAGGUCUCCGCUAAGUCGUAAGACGAUGUAUGGGGGCUGACGCCUGCCCAGUGCCAGAAGGUUAAAGAAGUCGGUUAGCAAUAGCAAAGCUGGUAACUGAAGCCCUGGUGAACGGCGGCCGUAACAAUAACGGUCCUAAGGUAGCGAAAUUCCUUGUCGGGUAAGUUCCGACCCGCACGAAAGGCGUAAUGAUUUGGAUGCUGUCUCGGAGAGGGACUCGGUGAAAUAGACUUGUCUGUGAAGAUGCGGACUACCUGCACCAGGACAGAAAGACCCUAUGAAGCUUUACUGUAACUUGAAAUUGAAAUUGGACUUUAUUCGCGCAGUAUAGGUGGGAGGCGUUGAUUAUAAUCUUGUGGGAUUAUUGGAGCCAUCAGUGAGAUACCACUCUUGUAAUGUUAGAUUUCUAACUUUGAAUCAUUAUCUGGUCAAAGGACAGUUUCAGGCGGGCAGUUUGACUGGGGCGGUCGCCUCCUAAACGGUAACGGAGGCGUACAAAGGUUUCCUCUGAACGGUUAGAAAUCGUAUCUAGAGUGUAAAGGCAUAAGGAAGCUUGACUGUGAGACCUACAAGUCGAGCAGGGACGAAAGUCGGUCUUAGUGAUCUGACGGUACUGAGUGGAAAGGCCGUCACUCAACGGAUAAAAGUUACUCUAGGAUAACAGGCUGAUCUCCCCCAAGAGUUCACAUCGACGGGGAGGUUUGGCACCUUGAUGUCGGCUCAUCGCAUCCUGGGGCGGUAGUACGUCCCAAGGGUUGGGCUGUUCGCCCAUGAAAGCGGUACGCGAGCUGGGUUCAGAACGUCGUGAGACAGUUCGGUCCAUAUCCGGUGUAGGCGCUAGAAUAUUGAGAGGAGCCUUCUUUAGUACGAGAGGACCGAGAAGGACAUACCUCUGGUGUACCAGUUAUCGUGCCAACGGUAAACGCUGGGUAGCUAUGUAUGGAGUGGAUAACCGCUGAAAGCAUCUAAGUGGGAAGCCCACCUCAAGAUAAGUAUUCUCAUCACGUAAGUGAGUAAGGUCACGGUAAGACUAACCGUUUGAUAGGCAUUAAGUGUAAGUACAGUAAUGUAUGUGCUGAGAUGUCCUAAUAGACCGAGGACUUG